rnacentral:lncRNA from 1 species
CAUCGGCACUGCCAACCGGUGGGGUGCAGCCCUGCUGAAGCCCCAGAGCUCAGCCCAGUGCUGGGCACAUAGUAGGCGCUCAGGAAAUGAUUGCUGAAUGUGGAAUGAAAGUCCCCAGCAGGCAAAAGGCUGUGACUUCUGUUAGUGGGGUGGUGGUCCUCUGGGGCGAGUGUAUGGAGAACUUCAAGGCCUCCUCCUGGCUGCCCAGGAAGUAGUGUCUUCUUUUGCAAGCUGGGGGAGGGGUUUAAAGAUGCUGGCGCUGCCCUCUAGCCGGCUGCUGGGGACAUCAAAGGAGAUUCGGGCUGUGGAAGGCUCCCUAGCGUCGGAGAUGGAGUUAGGAGAGGGCGCCAAAGGCGACGUGCCGGCCGCCAGCUCCAGGCCGAGCCCCGAGCGCCUGCAGGAACACGCCCCUUCACCCGGCGCGGGACGCAGAGCUGCGAGAGAAUCUUGUUCAGCGCGGACUCAACGCCAGGGCGCCGCCUAGAGGUUGGUCUCUGUCUCGGCCUCACCCGCCGGGAGACCACAGAGCUGCUUCCCCAGCCGCCCGCCGCCAGAAAUUGGAAAAAAAAAAAAAAAAAAAAAAAAAAUCCAGCUGGGGUCUAGGAACUCGGCUUCUGGCACCUCUGAAUUCUCCGAGACUGUCUCCUCCCUCCCCGCCUGUAAUGAACCCUGUGAAGGGAGACAGGCCAGGAAGUCCCAGAAAUAUUUAUUCUUGUGACUCUCACAAAAUGGA